rnacentral:rRNA from 1 species
AAAAGUGAUUACGAUCCUCGCCUGAUUUUUUGGGAAUAUUUGGGANNNNNNNNNNNNNNNNNNNAGGUCAGGGGACCUCCAAGGGGCCCACAAGCCUGCACGGCGCAAGAUCUAGAUAGAAGCAUCAUUGUUAGCUUGCAUAUCUGGUAAGCAACUCCUUGCUAAUCAUAGGCGGUUAGAACAAAGCAAGGGAUGACACUUUCAAUGCGCAAAAUCCGCUCCGAGCUAGAGUGUGAAACUUCUUGGUGCAGCCGUUUUAUUUGCUGCUUGCUACUUUCUAAAAUGUAAGAUAAGAUGAAUGUAUGAAUAGAUUUCAUUUUUUACCCAACAUUAGUUUCGAAUCGUGUGCAUCUAAAGCGUCCUUUACUAAAAACAAUGUAGUUAUAUCCAAACCUAGAGCAAUUUUAUGAUGAAUUAAGAAAUCCCAUUCGCCCCAGCGAGCGAAUAUGCUGGCUCUGGCUCUGCCCACCUGCUCACACCUUCCACGUCACUUUCACGUGUGAACUGAAAUCACCUUCUAGAACUCCUUCCUUUCUCAUUUCAGUCCUCGCCUUUUUCAUCUUNCGUAGGGGCCUUUAGUCUUUUGAUUAGCGUAGAUGUUGCGAGAGAGCAGAGUGUACCACCCUCGCAUAGCCACGAUGAUCUUAAUAGUCGGUCGUGACUGUUAUCACACUCAAUAACGGUUGAAACUUAUAGGAAAAAACUUCGAAUUGGGAGGGCAAUCCUCCUGUUGAACUAACUGUACCCCAAACCAACAAAUGGUGAACAAGUAGAGUAUACUAGGGCGCGUCGAGAGAACCAUGUCGAAGGAACUCGGCAAAUGACUCCGUAACUUUUGAUUACGAAAGCGGCACAUGCCAGGGGGUAGAGAUUGUCUAUUAAAAACACAAGACUCCGCUAAGUGGUGAAACGAUGUAUAGAGUCUGAUACCUGGCCGAUGCUUGAAGGUCGGAAGGAUAAGUGUGCUAAGCUUUGAAUGAAAUCCCCGGUAAACGGCAACACGGACUCUAACUGUCCUAGGGUAGCGAAAUUCCUUGUCACAUAAGUAGCGACUUGCACGAACGGUGUAACGACUGCCCCGCUGUCUCCGACAUGGACCCGAUGAAAUUGAAUCCUCCGUGAAGAUGCGGAGUACCAAUAUCUAGACGGUAAGACCACAUCCACCUUGAAUAUAGAUUCGUAGUGACAACCUUGAUUGAAUGUGAAGGAUAGGUGGGAGGUGGUGACACACAACAACCAAUCCUGAGAGACCACUCUUUCAUCUAAGGAUACCUAACCACCGCACCGAUCAUUUGGGGGUGGGCACUGCGAGGUGGGUAGUUUAUCUGGGGAGGAUGCCUCCUGAAGAGUGAGAGCCUACUUGACUGUGAAGGUGUGCGAAGGUAGGCUCAAGCGUUUAUUCUGCUCGUGAACGCAAUUGUAUAAUGCUAUAUGCCUAUGAGACAGACUAGUCGAACACAAACGUAAGUUGGCCAUGGUGAUCUGGUAGUCCCGUGUGGAAGCGCUCUUUCUCAACGGAUCAAAGGUACGCCGGGUAUAACAGGCUGAUGACUCCCAAUAGCUCUUAUCGACGGAGUCGUUUGGCACCUCGAUGUCGACUCAUCACAUCCUGGGGUUGAAGAAGGUCCCAAGGGUUCGGUUGUUCGCGUAUGGAAGUCGUACAUGAGUUGGGUUUAGAACGUCGUGAGACAGUUCAGUUCCUAUCUACCAUUGGUGUUAAAGGGAGAACUGCAAGGAGCCAGCCCUAGUACGAAAGGAAUGGGUUUGCUCAACCUAUGGUGUACCCUCUAUACAACUCAUGUCGAUCAAGUAGGUAUCUUAUACCCCGACUCCUGACCUCCGUUGCCACAAGGCCCAAAACCAUUUUGAAAGCCUUGUUAAUCUAACCUGAUGUAGUGCAUGUUUUUGUCUCGAACAAACCCUCUAGCUCAAGGACACCUAGUAUGCCUCCAAUUUUCUGAGCCAACUACUAGACAUCCUCGACAUGUGAAGGUGC